rnacentral:rRNA from 1 species
CUGACCUCAAAUCAGGUAGGACUACCCGCUGAACUUAACCAUAUCAAUAAGCGGA